rnacentral:ncRNA from 2 species
AGUUAUUACUCGUUAAACAGUAACCUGUUGGGAAACUCCGGUGAAACUCCGGGGCUGUGCGGCAACUGUAAGUCAUUCACGAGCAAAUUGACAAGCCAGAAGGCCAACUGGUUACGCACCACUCUA